UUGUACCCGCUGGAAAUUAAGCAUAUCAAUAAGCGGAGGAAAAGAAACCAACAGGGAUUGCCCCAGUAACGGCGAGUGAAGCGGCAAGAGCUCAAAUUUUAAAGCUGGCGCUUCAGGUGUCCGCGUUGUAAUUUGGAGAGGCAUCUUCGGUGCGGGCGCCGGCCUGUGUUCCUUGGAACAGGACGUCACAGAGGGUGAGAAUCCCGUGCUUGGCCGGCUGUCCCGUCCCAUGUGUGGCGCCUUCGACGAGUCGAGUUGUUUGGGAAUGCAGCUCAAAAUGGGUGGUAAAUUCCAUCUAAAGCUAAAUAUUGGUGGGAGACCGAUAGCGCACAAGUAGAGUGAUCGAAAGAUGAAAAGCACUUUGAAAAUAGAGUUAAACAGUACGUGAAAUUGUUGAAAGGGAAGCGCUUGAGACCAGACUCGGCCGGGAACGAUCAGCCGUCCCUUCUGGGCGGUGCACUCGUCUCCGGUUGGGCCAGCAUCGGUUGAGACGGCGGGACAAAGGCUUCGGGAAUGUGGCUCCUCUCGGGGAGUGUUAUAGCCCGUGGCGCAACGCCGCCAGCCUCGACCGAGGACCGCGCUUCGGCCAGGAUGCUGGCGUAAUGGCCUUCAGCGACCCGUCUUGAAACACGGACCAAGGAGUCUAACAUCUAUGCGAGUGUUUGGGUGUCAAACCCUUGCGCGGAAUGAAAGUGAACGGAGGUGGGAACCCGCGAGGGUGCACCAUCGACCGGUCCUGAUGUCUUCGGAUGGAUCUGAGUAGGAGCAUAGCUGUUGGGACCCGAAAGAUGGUGAACUAUGCCUGAAUAGGGUGAAGCCAGAGGAAACUCUGGUGGAGGCUCGCAGCGGUUCUGACGUGCAAAUCGAUCGUCAAAUUUGGGUAUAGGGGCGAAAGACUAAUCGAACCAUCUAGUAGCUGGUUCCUGCCGAAGUUUCCCUCAGGAUA
rnacentral:rRNA from 1 species